AUCGGACAGAUGCUCUUCAUGGACUGCGGCGCCGGCGCCACCGGCAUGUUCCAUCGAGGGGUGAGGCCGGUCCUCG
rnacentral:pre_miRNA from 1 species